AUUUCCUUGCAGGAUGGCAUAAAUAGAGCUGCUGCUCCUGCUGUAACAGGAAUAGCCGAGGUUGGGCAGAUUGUGGUUACUGAAAAUGGUGUCUCGGGGGUAGGGAUCUCGGACGACAGUGUUUCUUCUUGCUGAAAACAGGUUCAGCUGGCGGGAUGAGUUCUUCGCGUCACUCGGGGAGGGCCUCAAGCUCGUCUCCGUGUUCAGCCUUGGUGACCUGUUCCCGUCGUCGCCGCUCGUACGGAACGUCACGUACGGCGAGCGUACGCCAACCACCGGAAGAACUUUGAGCUCAUGGAAAUAUGGAAUGCACCACCAUCAUUCCAUCAAGCAGCACGAGGAGCGGAGAGCCGCGGCGCUGGUGAACAGCACUGACCAGGAGGAGGAGGACCUGGAGGACGUGCUCUUUUUUUUUGUAAACCUGAGGACGUGCUCUUGAGAGUACAAAAUUAGGCUCUGAUGUGUGCUGACUUAUUAGGCUCUGAUAGACUGAUACGUCUAGAAGCUUAAUUGUUUCAUUAUUUAAGUUGUCCACGAGGAAGGAAACUGUAGUAAAGCAGUGGCAAACUUUCUCUAUAUAGUUGGUGUUAAGGGGAAAUUUCCUAAUGCUAUUGGACAGGUGGGUAUGUGUAUCUACAUUUGUAUAGACUUGGAGUAAGAGAACUUCUUCAUAUGAUCCGGUCCGGAACUAA